rnacentral:rRNA from 1 species
UACGUAGGGGGCGAGCGUUGUUCGGAAUUACUGGGCGUAAAGAGUGUGUAGGCGGUGCUCUACGUCUGUUGUGAAAUCUCCCGGCUUAACCGGGAGGGUGCGGCGGAAACUGGAGUGCUUGAGGGUGGGAGAGGUAAGCGGAAUUCCUGGUGUAGCGGUGAAAUGCGUAGAUAUCAGGAGGAACACCUGUGGUGUAGACAGCUUACUGGACCACUUCUGACGCUGAGACACGAAAGCGUGGGUAGCAAACAGG